rnacentral:rRNA from 1 species
UACAGAGGGGGCAAGCGUUGUUCGGAAUUACUGGGCGUAAAGGGCGCGUAGGCGGCCUUCUAAGUCGAACGUGAAAUCCCCGGGCUCAACCCGGGAACUGCGUCCGAUACUGGAAGGCUUGAAUCCGGGAGAGGGAUGCGGAAUUCCAGGUGUAGCGGUGAAAUGCGUAGAUAUCUGGAGGAACACCGGUGGCGAAGGCGGCAUCCUGGACCGGCACUGACGCUGAGGAGCGAAAGCCAGGGGAGCAAACGGG